AAAAUUGCGAUUGACUGAGUUCCACCUGUGUGGCUGACGGACAGAUCCAGUGAAACGAUGCUGGCUGCAUGUGACUGUUUUCUACGCUCUGAUCUCAUUUUAACGUGACGCUGAUGAUAGUGACCGGCUCGAUGAAUGGACUACUACCACGCUGUGAAAGUGAAAACUACUG